AACCCGAUUUACAGCCCAGAAACCACCCGUGCGACCUGCCUUUUCUUUUUCCCUUCCACUGCUGCUGUCUCCGGCCGUAAUUUUCACAUCAUUAUCUUCCUCUCUUCAAGAGCAACACAUCCACACCAUUUUUCUGCUUUUUCGAGCCAAACGGUGAACGAUCGGACGUUUCCUAAGGUUGUGGAGGUACCUAAUGUCUCAUGGGAUGUUAUUGGUGAAUUGGACAAUGUCAAAAGAGAACUUCAAGAGGAUAAAAAUUCAAUCUUGGGCUACAAAUGCUCAACUUGGUUGAUUACAGCGGCUAUGGCUGGUUGCUUCUUAUGAAUAUUGGCUAAAGGCCUUAAGCAUUUUUAGUGGAGAAAUAAGUUAAUGGUGCACUUCAGGAAGUCAGAGAAGAGUUUUCAGGCUUGCAAUCGCUGUUAAGGGUCCAAAGGACAAGUCUCCUAGGGCAAAACAUUUAGGGGAAAAAAAGAGCAAACAGAAAAAGAAGAGAUUCAAAGGAAGAAAGAAAAGGGGAGAGAGGAAGAAACAGAAGAAAUGAAAACAAGUGGCUCUCCAUCUCGGUAUUUAAUUUUAUGUUCGGCAAAUCAUGUAUUGAAAUUGGAUUUAUCAUACUAUCUGGUAGAGGCCAGGGCUACACAAAAUUCUCAGCCCUGGCGUAAUGAGCAUGAGGUAUAGGAAGGAAGCGUAGUGCUUAUUAAAUGUGUUUUUGGUUUUUGGAUUUUUUUAUGCUGUUAUGGACAUUGUUUGAUGACUCGAUUUGUAUGUGUUGUGCUCAUUUAAAAUAUUUUGCUGGACCAGCUUUUGCAAUCUGUAAAAUAAUAGGGGUGUGAAAUUUGCACAACCAAAUUUACAAACCACACACCCUUUUAUUUUUUUAAUAA